rnacentral:lncRNA from 1 species
AUUUAAACUCAUAAGGGCUGUUCCAGAAAAUACUAUGUCCCCCCCAGGGAAGGCAAUUUUUUUAAAUAUUAUGUGGGUGGUUGUAUUUGAAAUACCAAAAUGCAAAGGGAGUGCUGUUCUAAUUAAAUUUUAUUUCUGUGGGUGGUGGGGGUUAAAAAAAAGUGCCGUCCCUGGGGGGGACAUAGUAUUUUCUGGAACAGCCCUAAGCUGAAAACACCGUGGCAAA